rnacentral:tRNA from 1 species
GCGAGGGUGGCGGAAUGGCAGACGCGCUAGCUUGAGGGGCUAGUGGUAGAAAUAUCGUAGGGGUUCAAGUCCCCUCCCUCGCA